GACGAACGCUGGCGGCGUGCUUAACACAUGCAAGUCGAACGGUGAAGCGCCUUCCUUUUUGGUGGGUGUGGAUGAGUGGCGAACGGGUGAGUAACACGUGAGUAACCUGCCCCCUUCUUCUGGAUAACCGCAUGAAAGUGUGGCUAAUACGGGAUAUUCUGGGUCUGUCGCAUGAUGGGUCUGGGAAAGAUAUUGUUUCGGUGGGGGAUGGGCUCGCGGCCUAUCAGCUUGUUGGUGGGGUGAUGGCCUACCAAGGCGGUGACGGGUAGCCGGCCUGAGAGGGUGGACGGUCACACUGGGACUGAGACGCGGCCCAGACUCCUACGGGAGGCAGCAGUGGGGAAUAUUGCACAAUGGGCGCAAGCCUGAUGCAGCGACGCCGCGUGAGGGAUGGAGGCCUGCGGGUUGUGAACCUCUUUCGCCAGUGAAGCAGGCCUGCCUCGUUUGUGGGUGGGUUGACGGUAGCUGGAUAAGAAGCGCCGGCUAACUACGUG
rnacentral:rRNA from 1 species